UGUUCGCCGAGAGCACUGAACCAUCCUGUAUCUGAUGUGAGUGAGAGUCAUCCAGAGUCAGCCUGUUGGAAUUCAGAGGCAGCAGUAGAUCCCCUGGCCUUGGUAAUGAGUCCAUGCAGCUGGGCCCACGCAGCACCUCCAUCUCAGCCACUGUGGCCACUCCAUUUACAUGUCGAUUGCACCAAUGAUGAAGGCGGGCUAAUGUCCAAUGGCCAGGUUUGAUCUCGGCUGUACCCUUUCCAUCUUAUGAUGCAUCUUGUUCCACGACUGACACCUCCAGCCUCAUGUACCUCCCCCCACCCAAGAUCAUAAGGGCCCCAGUGGUAAGUGUAUUUGCACUGCAGUGGACUUGCUGCAGAGCUCUUUCCUAUUCCAGGCUCCACUCAAUCUUAGCAACCUUCUGUACCACCCAGUGUAUGGGCUGGAGCAAUAUUUCUAGAAUGUGUUGCCUUCAGAAUCAAAUAAGAUAUACCAAACACUGUGUUUCUUCUUUGUGGUAGGGGAUGCAAGAUGCAGCAAUUUGUAUUUUGCUU